CAGUCUGCAACUCGACUGCAUGAAGUCGGAAUCGCUAGUAAUCGCGGAUCAGCAUGCCGCGGUGAAUACGUUCCCGGGUCUUGUACACACCGCCCGUCAAACAAUGGGAGUGGUGUUUACCAGAAGUCGUUAGCCUAACCGCAAGGAGGGCGGCGACCACGGUGAGCACCGUGACUAAUGUUAAGUCGUAACAAGGUAGC
rnacentral:rRNA from 1 species